rnacentral:tRNA from 1 species
GGAAGUGUGCCUGAAGGUUUAAGGAACUCCUUGAUAGGGAGAACCACAAAGGUUCAAAUCCUUUCACUUCC